UAGGGGGAGGAUAGAUGACUGGCUGGUACUGUGGUAACUAUAGCUCGCAGUACCAGACAGUCCUCUAACCUCCCCCUACA
rfam:Myotis lucifugus cont2.17455, whole genome shotgun sequence.